rnacentral:rRNA from 1 species
UACGGAGGAUGCAAGCGUUAUCCGGAAUGAUUGGGCGUAAAGCGUCCGCAGGUGGCUGUGUAAGUCUGCUGUCAAAGAGCGAAGCUCAACUUCGUAAAGGCAGUGGAAACUACACGGCUAGAGUGCGUUCGGGGCAGAGGGAAUUCCUGGUGUAGCGGUGAAAUGCGUAGAGAUCAGGAAGAACACCGGUGGCGAAGGCGCUCUGCUAGGCCGCAACUGACACUGAGGGGACGAAAGCUAGGGGAGCGAAUGGG